AUUGAACGCUGGCGGCAGGCUUAACACAUGCAAGUCGAGCGGUAGCACAGGGGAGCUUGCUCCCUGGGUGACGAGCGGCGGACGGGUGAGUAAUGUCUGGGAAACUGCCUGAUGGAGGGGGAUAACUACUGGAAACGGUAGCUAAUACCGCAUAACGUCGCAAGACCAAAGAGGUGGACCUUCGGGCCUCUUGCCAUCAGAUGUGCCCAGAUGGGAUUAGGUAGUAGGUGGGGUAAUGGCUCACCUAGGCGACGAUCCCUAGCUGGUCUGAGAGGAUGACCCGCCACACUGGAACUGAGACACGGUCCAGACUCCUACGGGAGGCAGCAGUGGGGAAUAUUGCACAAUGGGCGCAAGCCUGAUGCAGCCAUGCCGCGUGUGUGAAGAAGGCCUUCGGGUUGUAAAGCACUUUCAGCGAGGAGGAAGGUGGUGAACUUAAUACGUUCAUCAAUUGACGUUACUCGCAGAAGAAGCACCGGCUAACUCCGUG
rnacentral:rRNA from 1 species